UACGGGGGGGGCAAGCGUUGUUCGGAAUUACUGGGCGUAAAGGGCUCGUAGGCGGCCAACUAAGUCAGACGUGAAAUCCCUCGGCUUAACCGGGGAACUGCAUCUGAUACUGGAUGGCUUGAGAUUGGGAGAGGGAUGCGGAAUUCCAGGUGUAGCGGUGAAAUGCGUAGAUAUCUGGAGGAACACCGGUGGCGAAGGCGGCAUCCUGGACCAACACUGACGCUGAGGAGCGAAAGCCAGGGGAGCAAAUGGG
rnacentral:rRNA from 1 species